rnacentral:rRNA from 1 species
UACGUAGGGUGCGAGCGUUGUCCGGAAUUACUGGGCGUAAAGAGCUCGUAGGUGGUUUGUCGCGUUGUCCGUGAAAUUCCCUGGCUUAACUGGGGGGCGUGCGGCGAUACGGGCAGACUGGAGUACUGCAGGGGAGACUGGAAUUCCUGGUGUAGCGGUGGAAUGCGCAGAUAUCGGGAAGAACACCCGUGGCUAAGGCGGCUCUCUCAGUACGGUACUGACGCUGAGACGCG